GUGCUCACUUUGACAGCACAUAUACUACAACUAUAACAAAACAGAGAUUAGCAUGGACCCUGUGCAAGGAUGACACAAAAAUUCAUGAAGCAUUCCGUAUUUUU
rnacentral:snRNA from 1 species